AUAAAGAAAAAACAACCAAAUGUGGCACUCUCAUUUCACAAAUGAUGGACCAAUCAUUCCCACUAUGCAGACAAGAAAUUCUAAAAAACAAGGGCCUGCUAUACAGAACAUGGUUAAACGAUGGCCAGCACUUUUCACAGAGAGACAGGUGUUUGCUGAGUUUAAUAGAAUCGCCAGUAAGAAUCUUGAGGGAGACUUGAGGCUUUGGACCAGUAUUCCCCACGUUUCAUCAAACUUUUCUAAACAAAAAGGGAAACUUAAGGACUGAGUUGGCCAGAAACUCAAGGAGCUGAUGCAGCACAUGAGCUGGCUGACACCAGACGUGACAGUACUUCGCUCAUUUGUCCUCAAAGGCAUGACGACUCCAGUGAAUUCUACAAGACCUGCUCUGAUGCAGCAAGAGACAAGGCUCUAGAACGCAUCACUGUUGGUGUCCUGACGGUUGUCAGUGAAGAUAGUCCUCACGAAGCUUAGUGGUCCUCCAGCCCAUCUCCACUGCCAUCAUUCUGGAGGGAGGUAUUGUUAUGGAUAAUGUUAAGAACUUGCCUCAAGUCUUUUGUUUGGGCUUACAUAUGCAUUGCAUUUGGAUUACCCAAAAUGCAUGGCAAAUACACUCAACUUCAUUCAGACUGUGAUGCUUGGACUGGGAAAGAAAAACCUCCCAAAACGGUCUUCUGGGUUAGAACAAUAAAGAGCUGUCAGAUAGCACUUUGUAAGCUUUGCAGCUUUUAAUGUUCUCCUGUUAUUAGAGACAGUUUGAUGCUGUCAUGCAACUGUAUUUGCUUCUGAUCUUAAUAAAAAAAGAAAUUCUAUUAAAGUCUGUAAUGUUAUGCAGGUAUGCUAAUGUUGGAAACAGAGCCACCGUGUUUUAUUAAGAGUUGUUUAUUAAGUGUUAGUAUUAGAUAAUAAUGUCAGAAAAUAACCUACCACGGUUGUCCUGUUAACAUUUGUGUUUUAGGAAAGCUUUUUAUACUUGUAAUGUAGUACAAAUACAAACCCCAAGGAGUGAUGUUUUUGUUUGUGUUGCUUUAAUCCUUUCACUGCUCACUUUGGGACACAAAAGCAUUUGUUGUACUUUCAGUUUAAAAUGCAAUUUUUAACUGAAUACAUUUUUUAAAUGUAAAAAAAGUUAAAUUUUAACUGUCUACAUUUAAAUAAACCACAACUUUGUUUAGCUGCUGUUAUGUACGUGAAUGUGCAUUGAAUAAAUGAUGUAAUGUAGCUGAA